rnacentral:rRNA from 1 species
GAGUUUGAUCCUGGCUCAGAACGAACGCUGGCGGCGUGCCUAACACAUGCAAGUCGAACGUGAUCCAGAGCUUGCUCUGGUGAAAGUGGCGCACGGGUGAGUAACGCGUGGAUAACCUACCCUGGUAUCCGGGAUAACAUUCCGAAAGGGGUGCUAAUACCGGAUAAGCCCACGGGCUCUUUGGAGCUUGCGGGAAAAGGUGGCCUCUAUUUAUAAGCUACUGUAUCAGGAUGGGUCCGCGUACCAUUAGCUAGUUGGCGGUGUAACGGACCACCAAGGCGACGAUGGUUAGCUGGUCUGAGAGGAUGAUCAGCCACACUGGAACUGAGACACGGUCCAGACUCCUACGGGAGGCAGCAGUGGGGAAUUUUGCGCAAUGGGGGAAACCCUGACGCAGCAACGCCGCGUGAGUGAUGAAGGCCUUUGGGUCGUAAAGCUCCGUCAGAGGGGAAGAAAUGAUAUAGUGCUAAUACCACUUUAUCUUGACGGUACCCUCAAAGGAAGCACCGGCUAACUCCGUGCCAGCAGCCGCGGUAAUAC